rnacentral:sRNA from 15 species
UAAUGUAGACAGAAAAAGGAAGUCCCGAGUGAACGGGACUUCCCAUGUAGAGCCGUUAAAGACGGUGGCAGAUUUUAACGAUAUUUAAUA